rnacentral:lncRNA from 1 species
CGAGGAGGGGGAGGAGGCUCCCAGAGCCAGCCUGCCAGCCACUGAGAAACCUUUGUAUCCCCUCUCGCAGCAACAGGUCACACCACACGCCUUUUCGAAGGAAGUGGCACCUUGCCUUUAAUUUCCAGAAGUGGUAUUACACUUAACAAAUGAACAAGGGAUAACAAUUGCUGUUUCAGUCCAGACCCAAUUUCACCAAAUAAUUUCACUCAAGAGCUAUUAUUGACAAGCACCGUGGGCUCAAUGGUGUCAAGUUGUACUUGUGGUUUCAACACCCCGCAGCAACCCACGUAGCCGCUGGGCCCUGGAUUAGGACCCCCAGUCUGGCAGUGCUUAUCUGCCCGUCUGAGUGAUGGAGAGAUGAGUAUCAGUCUAUACCUCAACUGCUUCAAGCCCGCCUGGGCUUUCUCCCUGGCGCCUUUGUCUGUGUCAGGGUUGGAGCAACGAAACUGAAAGAUCUCCAGAGUUUGAAAACAGAGUGAAAGAGCAAAUUUAAUAAAUGAGAGCUCAGCCUUGAAUCUUAGUCUUUAUUAAUAGAGUCAUGUCCCUCACACCCAAAUAACUAUCAAACUUCAAACCACAUGUACUGUUUUUCAGAGUUCGGGUUCUUUCCUGGGUUCAUCAUGAAAGGUGUGAGGGAUGAAGGGGAAAAGGGUCUGAGGAGUUGGCAGG